UACGUAGGGUGCGAGCGUUAAUCGGAAUUACUGGGCGUAAAGCGUGCGCAGGCGGUUCGUUGUGUCGGCGGUGAAAGCCCCGGGCUUAACCUGGGAAUGGCCGUUGAAACUGGCGAACUGGAGUGUGGCAGAGGGGGGUGGAAUUCCGCGUGUAGCAGUGAAAUGCGUAGAGAUGCGGAGGAACACCGAUGGCGAAGGCAGCCCCCUGGGCUGACACUGACGCUCAGGCACGAAAGCGUGGGGAGCGAACCGG
rnacentral:rRNA from 1 species